CGUGAUGUUAUUGAAGCUUAAACAUUUCUUUUUCUCUACGUUUUCAACAGAUCUGCGCUGAAAAGUAGUGUGGUGAGCUAUGUUACUGUUACUGGUCACAGAGUUGUCACAUUUCCCUUUUGCUGCCCUGCAGUCCAGUGUCUUUUCUAUUUAUUCAAGGAUUACUUAAAAUGUAUGAUUUUUAAGUGAUUCUUUCACUUAACUGGUUGAUCAUAAAAUGUGAUUUCUACAGAUAUAAUGUAUACUGUGUGCUGCCAUUUAGAGUGAAUUCAUGUAUUUCCCCAGACUGCAUUAAUGACCAGGUUUCAGGCUCCAGAUUCAAGAAGGCAGAUUGAAGACUCUGGCAUUGUGGAGUCAGGAGAAUCAAGGUAGAAGUACUUUAAUAUACAGGUAUACAGUUAAUCAUGUUUUAAAUGAUUUAGUUAUUUAAAUGUAAUGCUACAUUUUACUGUUCAUUUAUUAAAGUUAGUUCUGAUUUGUUUAAAAUUCUCUUUUCCUUCUUUCCCUUUCACGCUCCCAGUCAAUUACAGCCUGCAGUAUUGACUGCUCCUGUUUCAAGAGGGAAAAGUGAAGACACACCACAAGAACUGCUGGAGCAGAAGCCUUCUGGUAUUGAGGAGUCAGGAGAAUCAAGGUAGAAGUACUUUAAUAUACAGGUGUACAGUUAGUCAUGUUUUAAAAAUGGGAUGGGUAUCAAUUGGGUUUUUUCCGAUACCGGUGCUAAAACGAUACUUUUAAAACAAUACCGUUGCCUUAACGGUGCCUGAACCGAUACUUAAAAAAAAAAAAAAGCAUAAAACGACGAUUGACGACAUUAAAAAAAUGCUUUUUGUAUUGCCAAGGCAAAUUUUGGUCUUCAAAUGGAACAAUAUAUUAACUGUUUAAAGUAUACUAAUAAUAUAAAUACAAAACACUUGGCUUCAAACUACAGCUUCAAACUUUUUAACUUCAAACUAUGAACAAUAUAUUAACUGUUAACAACAGUUUACAGUAUACUUAAAUAAAUAUAAAUAAAUACAAAACA
rnacentral:lncRNA from 1 species